rnacentral:lncRNA from 1 species
GAAUUAAGUUCCUUAAAAUUGGAAUGUAAAGACAAUCUUUGGUUUUUCCAAUUUUCUUUGGUAGUUCAUAUGAGGAAGUAAGUACUAUCUGCUUUCGCAGAGAUCUAUAUUUUAUUCACGUUCCGAAUGUGAAGCACAUUUUUCUUCUCUCAUAUAUCUUCUACUUCUUAUUAGUCACACUUUUACAACGAUUGUAAAACAUAGUUACUAAUACGGAAUCAAGCAUUCAAGUAGAAGAACCAACUGUUUUGAACUAUUUCAAGAACAAUUUACAACACCUUCGAAAGGUGUGUUCUUGACACUUGCAAGACAUUU